rnacentral:rRNA from 1 species
UACGUAGGGGGCAAGCGUUGUCCGGAAUCAUUGGGCGUAAAGAGCGCAUAGGCGGCCCGAUAAGUCCGCUGUGAAAGUCAAGGGCUCAACCCUUGAAUGCCGGUGGAUACUGUCGGGCUAGAGUCCGGAAGAGGCGAGUGGAAUUCCUGGUGUAGCGGUGAAAUGCGCAGAUAUCAGGAGGAACACCGAUAGCGAAGGCGGCUCACUGGCCCGAUACUGACGCUGAGGCACGAAAGCGUGGGGAGCAAACAGG